GUGCCUUAAACUAAUGAGUAAGGAAAAUUACGAACCUUGCUGACCCAUGGUUCAGCUUCCAAACCUGCAGUUGGCCAUCGCGCGCCGGCUGCGUGAGCAAUAAUUUUUCCUAGAGGUACAGGUCGUCCCCUUGCAGCUGUCCUGCCUACUUUUGCAGGAUACUCGGGUGUGAUAGCGAUCUGCCUC